rnacentral:rRNA from 1 species
AGUGAACGCUGGCGGUAGGCCUAACACAUGCAAGUCGAACGGCAGCACAGGAGAGCUUGCUCUCUGGGUGGCGAGUGGCGGACGGGUGAGGAAUACAUCGGAAUCUACCUUUUCGUGGGGGAUAACGUAGGGAAACUUACGCUAAUACCGCAUACGACCUACGGGUGAAAGUGGGGGACCGCAAGGCCGCACGCGACUAGAUGAGCCGAUGUCCGAUUAGCUAGUUGGCGGGGUAAUGGCCCACCAAGGCGACGAUCGGUAGCUGGUCUGAGAGGAUGAUCAGCCACACUGGAACUGAGACACGGUCCAGACUCCUACGGGAGGCAGCAGUGGGGAAUAUUGGACAAUGGGCGCAAGCCUGAUCCAGCCAUACCGCGUGGGUGAAGAAGGCCUUCGGGUUGUAAAGCCCUUUUGUUGGGAAAGAAAUCCUGUCGAUUAAUACUCGGUGGGGAUGACGGUACCCAAAGAAUAAGCACCGGCUAACUUCGUGCCAGCCGCCGCGGUAACAC